rnacentral:rRNA from 1 species
UACGGGGGGGCAAGCGUUGUUCGGAAUUACUGGGCAUAAAGGGCUCGUAGGCGGCCAACUAAGUCAGACGUGAAAUCCCUCGGCUUAACCGGGGAACUGCGUCUGAUACUGGAUGGCUUGAGGUUGGGAGAGGGAUGCGGAAUUCCAGGUGUAGCGGUGAAAUGCGUAGAUAUCUGGAGGAACACCGGUGGCGAAGGCGGCAUCCUGGACCAACACUGACGCUGAGUGAGCGAAAGCCAGGGGAGCAAACGGG